rnacentral:snoRNA from 1 species
CCUGCCUCUAGAGGCUUUGCAGGAGUGGCUGCUGUGUCCUACUUACAUCAGUAGAUGGCAGAGAGGAGAGAGACUAUGUCUAUGCCCAGUAUUCUGACCUUUGAACAUCUGAAUGAUUAGUAGCUCCACAUU